rnacentral:rRNA from 1 species
UGAGCUCGAUGAGUAGGGCGGGACACGUGGUAUCCUGUCUGAAUAUGGGGGGACCAUCCUCCAAGGCUAAAUACUCCUGACUGACCGAUAGUGAACCAGUACCGUGAGGGAAAGGCGAAAAGAACCCCGGCGAGGGGAGUGAAAAAGAACCUGAAACCGUGUACGUACAAGCAGUGGGAGCACCCUUCGGGGUGUGACUGCGUACCUUUUGUAUAAUGGGUCAGCGACUUAUAUUCUGUAGCAAGGUUAACCGAAUAGGGGAGCCGGAGGGAAACCGAGUCUUAAUUGGGCGUUAAGUUGCAGGGUAUAGACCCGAAACCCGGUGAUCUAGCCAUGGGCAGGUUGAAGGUUGGGUAACACUAACUGGAGGACCGAACCGACUAAUGUUGAAAAAUUAGCGGAUGACCUGUGGCUGGGGGUGAAAGGCCAAUCAAACCGGGAGAUAGCUGGUUCUCCCCGAAAGCUAUUUAGGUAGCGCCUCGUGAAUUCAUCUCCGGGGGUAGAGCACUGUUUCGGCUAGGGGGCCAUCCCGGCUUACCAACCCGAUGCAAACUGCGAAUACCGGAGAAUGUUAUCACGGGAGACACACGGCGGGUGCUAACGUCCGUCGUGAAGAGGGAAACAACCCAGACCGCCAGCUAAGGUCCCAAAGUCAUGGUUAAGUGGGAAACGAUGUGGGAAGGCCCAGACAGCCAGGAUGUUGGCUUAGAAGCAGCCAUCAUUUAAAGAAAGCGUAAUAGCUCACUGGUCGAGUCGGCCUGCGCGGAAGAUGUAACGGGGCUAAACCAUGCACCGAAGCUGCGGCAGCGACACUGUGUGUUGUUGGGUAGGGGAGCGUUCUGUAAGCCUGUGAAGGUGUGUCGUGAGGCAUGCUGGAGGUAUCAGAAGUGCGAAUGCUGACAUAAGUAACGAUAAAGCGGGUGAAAAGCCCGCUCGCCGGAAGACCAAGGGUUCCUGUCCAACGUUAAUCGGGGCAGGGUGAGUCGACCCCUAAGGCGAGGCCGAAAGGCGUAGUCGAUGGGAAACGGGUUAAUAUUCCCGUACUUGGUGUUACUGCGAAGGGGGGACGGAGAAGGCUAUGUUGGCCGGGCGACGGUUGUCCCGGUUUAAGCGUGUAGGUGUGUGUUCCAGGUAAAUCCGGUUCACUUUAACACUGAGGCGUGACGACGAGGCACUACGGUGCUGAAGCAACAAAUGCCCUGCUUCCAGGAAAAGCCUCUAAGCAUCAGGUAACAUCAAAUCGUACCCCAAACCGACACAGGUGGUCAGGUAGAGAAUACCAAGGCGCUUGAGAGAACUCGGGUGAAGGAACUAGGCAAAAUGGUGCCGUAACUUCGGGAGAAGGCACGCUGACACGUAGGUGAAGUGAUUUACUCAUGGAGCUGAAGUCAGUCGAAGAUACCAGCUGGCUGCAACUGUUUAUUAAAAACACAGCACUGUGCAAACACGAAAGUGGACGUAUACGGUGUGACGCCUGCCCGGUGCCGGAAGGUUAAUUGAUGGGGUCAGCGCAAGCGAAGCUCCUGAUCGAAGCCCCGGUAAACGGCGGCCGUAACUAUAACGGUCCUAAGGUAGCGAAAUUCCUUGUCGGGUAAGUUCCGACCUGCACGAAUGGCGUAAUGAUGGCCAGGCUGUCUCCACCCGAGACUCAGUGAAAUUGAACUCGCUGUGAAGAUGCAGUGUACCCGCGGCAAGACGGAAAGACCCCGUGAACCUUUACUAUAGCUUGACACUGAACAUUGAGCCUUGAUGUGUAGGAUAGGUGGGAGGCUUUGAAGCGUGGACGCCAGUCUGCGUGGAGCCGACCUUGAAAUACCACCCUUUAAUGUUUGAUGUUCUAACGUGGACCCGUGAUCCGGGUUGCGGACAGUGUCUGGUGGGUAGUUUGACUGGGGCGGUCUCCUCCUAAAGAGUAACGGAGGAGCACGAAGGUUGGCUAAUCCUGGUCGGACAUCAGGAGGUUAGUGCAAUGGCAUAAGCCAGCUUGACUGCGAGCGUGACGGCGCGAGCAGGUGCGAAAGCAGGUCAUAGUGAUCCGGUGGUUCUGAAUGGAAGGGCCAUCGCUCAACGGAUAAAAGGUACUCCGGGGAUAACAGGCUGAUACCGCCCAAGAGUUCAUAUCGACGGCGGUGUUUGGCACCUCGAUGUCGGCUCAUCACAUCCUGGGGCUGAAGUAGGUCCCAAGGGUAUGGCUGUUCGCCAUUUAAAGUGGUACGCGAGCUGGGUUUAGAACGUCGUGAGACAGUUCGGUCCCUAUCUGCCGUGGGCGCUGGAGAACUGAGGGGGGCUGCUCCUAGUACGAGAGGACCGGAGUGGACGCAUCACUGGUGUUCGGGUUGUCAUGCC